UCGGCGGAACGGACGCCGUUCCUUCCCUCCCUAAGGACACGUGCUCACGGCCCCUCGGCAGGAAAUGGGCACCUGCAGCCUCCCGGGUCCCCCCGCCCAGCUCGCAGCGGGCACCAUUCGGUGCCGAGAGUCGCGGGCGCGGGAGUUGCCCGCUGCAUGGCCCCGCGCACGUCCGGCAUCUCGCUGUCUCCACCGGCCUCAACCCGCGAAAGAGACAAGGGCCUGUCUCCCGGAGCCCACCAGGCUCCACUGUGCCGAGAUGGGGAUGAGGACUUGGCGACGGGGUGGGGAGGGACAAACAAACGGACGGGCACAUGGAUGAUCACAGACAGGCUGCCGAGGAUUCCCAGUCUGUCGGGGUGGAUCCCGUGCGUGCGGACGACUCCGCCGCGGCUGAGACUCCAGACCUCGGAAAUUUAGUCCGAUAUGGAUCAAACCCUCUUCUGACCCUGUCGAGACGAGGACUAACCCCGGACGAGGGGGUCCCCUUCCGACGCAGAUGGGACAAAGAAAGUAGCGAUGAGCAGGAGGGAGGACAGAAGGAAGCUGCCCUGAUGCCCUGCCACCCUGCCCAGCUCUGUUCCUCUGUCCAGCCUGGGGGGUUCUGAAGCCCUGCUGGGAAGCCGGUAAUCAAGGAAAGACGAGGAAACUGAAGCUCGGAGAGACGGGACUUACCCAAGGUCACACCUGCAGUGAGUGACAGGGCCGAAAUGUGAAUUCAGGUGUGGGAGCCGCCGGCCUGGCUACACCUUCCGGCCCUGCCACAGGU